CUACGGGUGGCUGCAGUGGGGAAUAUUGCACAAUGGGCGCAAGCCUGAUGCAGCCAUGCCGCGUGUAUGACGAAGGCCUUCGGGUUGUAAAGUACUUUCAGCGGGGAGGAAGGGAGUAAAGUUAAUACCUUUGCUCAUUGACGUUACCCGCAGAAGAAGCACCGGCUAACUCCGUGCCAGCAGCCGCGGUAAUACGGAGGGGCAAGCGUUAAUCGGAAUUACUGGGCGUAAAGCGCACGCAGGCGGUUUGUUAAGUCAGAUGUGAAAUCCCCGGGCUCAACCUGGGAACUGCAUCUGAUACUGGCAAGCUUGAGUCUCGUAGAGGGGGGUAGAAUUCCAGGUGUAGCGGUGAAAUGCGUAGAGAUCUGGAGGAAUACCGGUGGCGAAGGCGGCCCCCUGGACGAAGACUGACGCUCAGGUGCGAAAGCGUGGGGAGCAAACAGGAUUAGAUACCCGUGUAGUC
rnacentral:rRNA from 1 species